CCACUUGGAAAGACUUGGGGUGCUCUGGGUUUCCGAAAGGGCAGGGUUAAAUGUGUACCCUGGCCCCUGGGGCUGCACUUGCCUAUCACAGACUACUAAACACUGAUGGAGCAAACUCCAGUUGCUGAUUCAUCCUAGAGCCUUUACUAUGCUGAUUCAAAAGAACACCAGAGCAUUUUCUAACCUGUACACAACUCUGCUCUGUGGAUGGGAACACUUCUACCCUCUCCUGCACACAAUCAGUUCAAUCAGUGUAUGCCCCAAAUGGUUCUCAUUAGAUCAUUUUCGAGGGAAUUACCAGGCACAAUUUAGUUGUUUUAACCCUAAGAGAAAGAAAUGUUGGUUUCAGCUGAGUCAGUAUCUGGUAUUUUAACUCACUUAGCUUUCCCUGCAGCUCAGACCAAGGGUGUGCCUUCCUGGACUGAAGGACUUGCACAGGCCAGCUCUCUGGUGUGGACCCAUGGUCACUGACGACUGAUUCUGCCCAGGGAUCAAUGGCUUUUUUCUCUCUUGAGAUCCAGCAAGCGUACAACUCCUAGAAGUGUUAUAGAGCAGUGGCCUGGUUUUCUAUUCCAAUCCUGAUCUGCUGAGUUGACAGCUGCAAAGACCCUGUGAUGAACUGGACUUAGCAGAGAGUAUGAGAGGAUCUGAAGCACUCUGUGUCCAGACCAUGACUUCGGAAGUCAUCUGUUUUCCCCACUGGAAGCUUUCAGAAUAUUGUCUUUAUCCUUGGGUUUCUGAAAUUUCACAAUGCUAUAUCUAGAUAUGAGUCUUUUAUCUUUGUCCUGGGAAAUUGGUAGACCUUUUAAUCUGGAAACUUGGUUUUUAACAUCUAGGAAAAUUUCUUGUCUUUAUCCUUGGAUAAUUUCUUGUCUUUAGUUUUCUCUUUUAAAAAGUUCUCUUUGUUAGAGGUUGUACCUUCUGGAUUGAUCCUUUAUUUCUAUUUUCCUUCUCUCAUAUUUUCUAAUUCUUUGUCUUUGUUCUACGUCCUAGGAGAUUCAUAUGCAUUUAUCUCCUGCUCUUCUAUUAAACUCAUUAAAAACGUGGCAAAUAUUUGUAAUGUCCAAUAACUCAUCUUGGCUUCUGAUUUUUCUUUCCUCCUCCUCCCUGUCCCUCAACAUAUUAUAGACUUAUUUUUUAGAACACUUUUAGGUUCACAGAAAAAUUGACAGGAAGGUGCUCAGAUAGCCCAUGCACCCCAUGUCCUACACAUGCAUUGCCUCCUCCAUUAAUAACAUCCCCCAUCACUUCCUUUGUUUUAUAUAACAUCUUAUUCUUAGUUGAUCUUGGUCAUUCUCUUAAAAUUUUUUUUUAAAUUGAUGUAUAAUCAUUGUGCAUAUUUGGGGGAGUACAUGUGAUUUCGACAGAUAUAUAGAUAUAUAAAAUGUAUAA